GGAAAGAAAGGAAAGAAAGAAAAGGAAAGGAAAGAAAAGGAAAGAAAAGGAAAGAAAGGGAAGAAAGGAAAAGAAAGAAAAGGAAAGAAAGGAAAGAAAGAAAAGGAAAGGAAAGAAAAGGAAAGAAAAGGAAAGAAAGGAAAGAAAGGAAAAGAAAGAAAAGGAAAGAAAGAGAGAAAAGGAAAGAAAGAAAAGAAAGCGACUGAAACUGGAUAUGAUCGUGACAGUCAUGAUGAUGAGGAUGAUGUUCAUGUCACUAUCGGAGACAUUAAAACAGGAGCACCACAGUAUGGGAGCAGUGGGACCUCAUGGAGACAACUUGGUAGAAAAGAUUCUAUCAGUGCUCCCGCAGUUUCCCGGCCACACGAGUGAUGGGAUGGUCAGCAUGGCCGGGCUUACGGCCCUCCAGGCUGAAGACGAGAAUCAGAACGUGGUCGCACCAGGCUGUCUGGCACAAUCCCAGUGCCAGAUCACUGAAUUUUGACCAUUUGGGACACUCCUGGAUCCAAGGAACUGUGAACUCAGAGCAGCACACACACUUGUCC